rnacentral:rRNA from 1 species
AUUGAACGCUGGCGGCAGGCCUAAUACAUGCAAGUCGAGCGGAGCGGCGGACGGGUGAGUAACGCCUAGGAAUCUGCCUGUGAGUGGGGGAUAACGUCCGGAAACGGGCGCUAAUACCGCAUACUAUCAGAUGAGCCUAGGUCGGAUUAGCUAGUUGGUGGGGUAAAGGCCUACCAAGGUGACGAUCCGUAACUGGUCUGAGCGGAUGAUCAGUCACACUGGGACUGAGACACGGUCCCAACGCCUACGGGAGGCAGCAGUGGGGAAUAUUGGACAAUGGACGAAAGCCUGAUCCAGCCAUGCCGCGUGUGUGAAGAGGGUCUUCGGAUUGUAAAGAACUAUGAGUUGUGGGGCGUUACCAACAGAGUAAGCACCGGCUAAAUUCGUGCCAGCAGCCGCGGUAAUGC